rnacentral:RNase_P_RNA from 1 species
GGUAGACAACUCAACUUACGGAGAAUCUCUAGAAAUCUCUGAGGAAAGUCUGUCCACUAAUAUAUCGGCUGCUUAUCGACAAUAAGUCCAGGAAACUGGAGGCAACCGUUCAGAAACGAAACCACCUGCAUUUAGAAUGAUGGCUGUGAAUUUCCUUGUGAAAGGAAUGAGCUAACCGCCUGACAUUUUUACAGGAAAGGUUGAAACGGCGAGUCCCUGCUAGUGCAAGUCCAUAAUGGAUGCUUAGUAGAAUGUUGAGAUAACCCUUUGUGAAGGUCUUUAGACUGGAAGGUUAUACAGAAGACAGCUUACUGUCUGCC